ensembl:lncRNA
CGACUGGGUGACUUUAUUCACCCGCUUCGGCUGUUAUCAGUCCAUACAAUGGGCGUUAUUAGCAGAAAUCAGUCCCAUAGAUGUGGGCCAUCUCCACCUGCUAGAUUGUUCAGAAGCUUGUUAUCAUCCAUCCAGAUGGAGGAUCACUAACAGGAGCGUGGAAGACUCCAGAAUCCACUCUGGCUGGAAUCCGGUGGAUACAGCAGUGUUACAGUUCUCCACAGUCGCUGUGCACAUGGGUCAGUGGGACCAAGAAGCACUCUGCUAAUGUGAGACUCUGACCAGCAACAUCCAGCAAGACCCAGGCAGCGUUUUCUAUCUCCCAGCUGGAGUUUUUUGUUUGUGACGGGAGAGUCAGAUUUUUGUUGAAGCUGGAGGAACAGAGAGGUUAAUACACGCUACUGAUCCCUGAUGGGAGAAUCAUCACCUCUGCUAACAAAGAAGCCUGGUGGAUAUUUGUUUACAGACUGAUGAUGGGACAUCAUGCUCUGCAUCUUCAAAAGUGGAUUCUGGAGUCUUCCACGCUCCUGUUACUGAUCCUCCAUCUGGAUGGAUGAGAACAAGCUUCUGAACAAUCUAGCAGGUGGAUGGCCCAUAUCUAUGGGACUGAUUUGUGCUAAUAACGCCCAUUGUAUGGACUGAUAACAGCAAGCGGGUGAAUAAAGUCACCCAGUCGCUAGCUGUGCCAUUA